rnacentral:rRNA from 1 species
AACGCUAGCUACAGGCUUAACACAUGCAAGUCGAGGGGCAGCAUGGUCUUAGCUUGCUAAGGCUGAUGGCGACCGGCGCACGGGUGAGUAACACGUAUCCAACCUGCCGUCUACUCUUGGCCAGCCUUCUGAAAGGAAGAUUAAUCCAGGAUGGGAUCAUGAGUUCACAUGUCCGCAUGAUUAAAGGUAUUUUCCGGUAGACGAUGGGGAUGCGUUCCAUUAGAUAGUAGGCGGGGUAACGGCCCACCUAGUCAACGAUGGAUAUGGGUUCUGAGAGGAAGGUCCCCCACAUUGGAACUGAGACACGGUCCAAACUCCUACGGGAGGCAGCAGUGAGGAAUAUUGGUCAAUGGGCGAUGGCCUGAACCAGCCAAGUAGCGUGAAGGAUGACUGCCCUAUGGGUUGUAAACUUCUUUUAUAAAGGAAUAAAGUCGGGUAUGCAUACCCGUUUGCAUGUACUUUAUGAAUAAGGAUCGGCUAACUCCGUGCCAGCAGCCGCGGUAAUACGGAGGAUCCGAGCGUUAUCCGGAUUUAUUGGGUUUAAAGGGAGCGUAGAUGGAUGUUUAAGUCAGUUGUGAAAGUUUGCGGCUCAACCGUAAAAUUGCAGUUGAUACUGGAUGUCUUGAGUGCAGUUGAGGCAGGCGGAAUUCGUGGUGUAGCGGUGAAAUGCUUAGAUAUCACGAAGAACUCCGAUUG